GUUUCUGUAGCGCAAUUGAUAGCGCGGUGGACUUCUAAUCCACAGAUCGUGGGUUCGAAUCCGACCUGGGAUG